rnacentral:rRNA from 1 species
UACAGAGGUGCCGAGCGUUAGGCGGAAUCACUGGGCUUAAAGCGUGUGUAGGCGGGCGGGCAAGUACCUUGUGAAAUCCCACGGCUCAACCGUGGAACGGCUGGGUAUACUGCCUGUCUUGAGCCAACUAGGGGCGAGCGGAACAGACGGUGGAGCGGUGAAAUGCGUAGAUAUCGUCUGGAACGCCAAAGGUGAAAACAGCUCGCUGGGGUUGUGCUGACGCUGUGACACGAAAGCCAGGGGAGCGAACGGG